AUUAAAUGAGAAAUCAGUAAGCUCAUUCUUCGAAAGUUCCAGCCGAACUUCAGGGUUGACGACUGAGAACGGAUCAUAAGCAGAGAGGAAAGCCGUGUUGUUUUCUCCUUGUGCAGAGGCAUCGCCCCUUUAUUUAUCUCUCUUUCGUCUGCGAUCAUUGCAGAAUAGGUUACACCUGGGGAUUCAAGAAUGGGGCACAAUAAAAUAGCCAGAAAGAUUGCUGAACUAUGUCCUGAGUUGGCUGGAAUUGUGCAAGAAAGGAUCAGUCCACGCAAUUUAAUAUUAAAAGAAAACACAAAUAUUGUGAGGAAAGUACUCGAAGGGUGGCCAGAAUUUGCUUGGGAGACCGACGAGGAUGGUUGUGUACCAUUGCACUACGCUUGUGAAAGAGGUCUCUUGGAGAUUACAAGAUUGAUUCUAAAAGUAGAACCAAGGUGUGCUAACAGGUUUAAUAAGAAUGCCUACACACCAUUGCACUUUGCAGCAAUGAAUGGUGACGUUCUCCUACUUACUGAAUUUAUGACAAUGGUUCCCAAAUCUUUCAUGCUUCUCACCAAAAAGGCAGAAACAGUAAUGCACCUUGCUGCUAAAUUUGGUAAAUGCAAAGCUUUCGUCACAAUGACGGAGACUUUAGGGAGCAACGAUCUUUUCCGCCGACCGGAUCUGUAUGGCAACACAGUCUUACAUCUUGCUGUUUCUGCAAGCUGCUAUCAACUAGCAGAAUACAUAAUCGUUACGGCAAUUGUUGAUGUCGAGCAUAGAAACUAUCAUGGACAUACAGCACUCGACCUUCUUAAUCAAGCAAGAGUCACCGGUGAAACUGAGCAUAUUAGAGCUUUGUUGAAAUCUGGCUAUCCUUAUAGCUCUAUAACAUCACAACUUUCAUCAGAGGUCGAGACUUCGACUUCUCAGAAUGUGACAAUUGGAUCCAGAUAUGCAUCUGAUCAAAAAUUUGAGAAGCCACCUACGUUUAUGACGAAUAUGGGGAAUGAUGUUGGCAACAAAACCAACAAUCAGCAUGUGAUCAAUGAUGAACUUGAUGAAACCACUGCUGAAGCUGAUGCUCUCUCUCAAUCUGAAGAAAUCCAGGAUGAUAAAUAUGAACAAGGAUCCUCAUCAGAAAGAACAGAAUUGCAUCAUCAACGCAAGUAUCUAAGCAAGAGACACAGGAAAGAACAGAGGGAGCUCCACAGAAAUCGUCGAAAUAGACAAUAUGACACACAUAGGGAGGGACUACAAAAUGCUCGAAACACAAUCAUACUAGUAGCCAUUCUGAUAGCCACAGUUACUUUUACUGUUGGUUUGAAUCCCCCUGGGGGUUUCUAUCAGCAGGGAACGCUAAUAGGCCAGUCAACAGUUGGUAGAAAUUUGGCUUUUAAGAUCUUCGCUAUGAGCAACAGCAUUGCAUUGUUCACAUCUCUGUGCAUUGUAAUUAUUCUAGUGAGCAUCAUCCCCUUCGAGAGAAGAAAACUAAUGAGGCUAAUGGUGAUCACUCACAAGGUCAUGUGGGUGGCUUUGUCUUUCAUGGCAACAGCUUUUGUUGCAGCCUCAUGGGUGAUCUUGCCAAAUGAUCGCAAAACAAGAUGGAUGCUUGAGACUAUAUUGACUAUUGGUGCUGGAAGCAUGGUAACUGUGUUUAUCUAUCUGGGAGUUCAGUUAGCUAGACACUGGUUGAGGAAGCAGAAAUGGAAGAAACAGAGAGGCAAGAAGAGCAGAAUUGUUGCUGUCAACAAGGAAUUGAAAUUACAACCUUCUAAAACCUUGAUUACAAAACAAAUCGAACCUUAUCCAGUGCUAUUCAACAAUCAAUCAGACUCAUCCAACUCUGAUGUUGAAAGUGCAAAAUCCUUUGGGUAUCACACCUACUAAUGGUGAAAUCUGCUUGUUCCUGAUCUGCCCAAUAAUUUCAGAAAUAAAUUGUCCUUUUUUUUCCGAUUCU
rnacentral:misc_RNA from 1 species